rnacentral:lncRNA from 1 species
UGUCAGAAGAUGUAUGAGCUUACCUCAUUUCGGUGCUCUGGUGCUCAGAUUAUUCAUUACCACUAAUUCACAGACUCAAACUUGGUGCAGAGACCUCUCUCCGCAAGACAAAUCAUCGCUUUCUCAUUACGGUUAUGGCAGAAAAACAGCGGUCCGCCUCCCCGGUAUUAAGUUUCCAGCCCAUGGUGUACAUUAUUCUCACAAACUCACUUUAGAGUACAACAAUUUUGUCUCGUUCUUUAUAAUUUCAAAAAAUAUUUUGUGUAUUUUUUAUUACCUCAAACGAGUUAUGUAUUAUCCAAAUACUGAAAUGACCACGUAGUUUUAGUCAUCUGAUCUAUAUUUGUAAUUAAUUCAUCUUAUCAUUUCGUAAGUAUGUCGCUCCUUCAUGGUCUGAAGUCCGUAAUUUUUUAAGUGAUCCCUUUGUCAUGGUACAAAGGUUCUCCCCAAGUUGUGUAUAGCCCCAGUCUUGUUUAAGUUAGUAUUUAUUGAUCCUUUUUUUAAAUCCUACCUGCCGAAGGUAGGUUCUGCGAGCUAAAACACUGAAGCCCGUAUCACAGAAGCAGUUGUUUCAUUUUCCUUUCUUUGAGUGGUUAAAUACUUAAUAGUCUCUUAAGUUGAAAUGGAUUGUGCUGUUUCAAAAAUUAUUCAGGCCCAGAGCGCCCAUUUGAAUCAUUCUUAUCUCAAUAUAGAUUAAGUUUCCUCCCCGAACAAUUAUGACUCCAGACCUGCAUUUUAAGUUGUCCCUCUUCGAAAUAAGUUAUCUAAGAAGUCUCUGAAUAAGUCUUUACUACGGGUGCACCAUAGGUGAUCAGUACCAAUAGCUCUAGUUUUCCACUUCAAUCUCCUUUGUUUUAACCUUUUGAUUUCUUGUCCUGAAAAAAUGUGAAUAUCAUAUUCUAAGUAGGAGUAAGAUUGUUCAUUUUUCACACUUAUCCACCCUUGAAUCAGAAGCACAAUUGAGACACCUAAGUAAAGGAGUUUGUUAGUGUUUAAUCAGUAACCAGAGAUAUUAGAAAGUCUGAUAUCGUCAACUAAGUUCUAUGUAACGCUGCACAUUCAAUAAGUAAUUUAAGCGUAACGGAUCUCCAAGAUAAUAUUUUAAGAAACAUUGUUUCUCCUUAUGUUUUAAGAUUUAAAGAAGAAAAUUUGUGUCCACUCUUUUACUCUCGUGUUCUGUGAAAAUUUUUAUCUCCUAAGAACAAUUUUGGAUUUUGUUGAAUAUACUUAUUUUUGCACUCUGGUCAAAAAUUUGCCAUUUCCCUCCAGAACAUAAGAUGAGCACUGUCUCCAAUCAAUGUGGUAACGAAGCAAUUUUGCACUGAACGAUGAAGCUGGUUCUUCCUUAUUCAGCCUGCAAAUCGGGUUUCAGUUGUUUUCGUCUCUGAUAAGUAAUUUUUAUUUUUAUUUCACAAUUUGUAUCUUCCACCCUGAAAUCAUUGGUCCUUUUAUUUUUAUUUAUUCUCUGUUUCUCCAUUCUCUUUUUUUAAAAUAACUAUUCAUAAACGGUGAAUAGCUUUGUUUGAUGCUGACCAUUUUCAUCGUCAAAACUCCUUUUUCUUUUGAUUACUUUUCAUUUGUGCCCUAUCUGUACAAGUAUCAUUGAAUUAAAUGUUGAUCAAUUAUGGUAUAAUAAAACUCAGAAAUGAACCCUGUGUUUUUUCAUCUAAAUCUGACCAUAAAUCCAUCACCUUCUUAGAAUUUCAAAAACCUUGGAUUCUAUACAUGCAUAGCAAAAGACAUUCUUUCUCAAAAUUU